rnacentral:lncRNA from 1 species
CGGGGCGUGCGGAGGGAUGUGGCCCGGAAUAUUGGUAGGGGGGGCCCGGGUGGCGUCAUGCAGGUACCCCGCGCUGGGGCCUCGCCUCGCCGCUCACUUUCCAGCGCAGCGGCCGCCGCAGCGGACACUCCAGAACGGCCUGGCCCUGCAGCGGUGCCUGCACGCGACGGCGACCCGGGCUCUCCCGCUCAUUCCCAUCGUGG